rnacentral:lncRNA from 1 species
UCGCCAUUGCUAAUCUUGUUCGGUCCUUCAUUACCAUUCUGAUUUGAACCAAACAAUGCCUUGGACAUGCCCGGUAUGCCAAGAGCCUCUAAUCUCAUUUAGUUCAUUUCAAUCCUUUUUUGCCUUUGCCUUUCGUAUCCCGUCAGCUUCUGGGACAAGCACCCAGGCUUCACAAAUUUUUUACCUACUUUGUGCAUUUUUCACAAUAAAAACCAGACAGAUACAUUACAUUCAGCCAUAAAGAAAUAUGGAGUAAAAAGUACAUCACACUCUCCAUAAAAAACAGAAGCAUGUAAGAUAAAAAUGGAUGAUUUU